UGCCAGCCGCCGCGGUAAUACAGAGAGUGCAAGCGUUAAUCGGAAUUACUGGGCGUAAAGCGCGCGUAGGCGGGUAUUUAAGUCGGAUGUGAAAGCCCAGGGCUCAACCUUGGAACUGCAUCCGAUACUGGGUACCUAGAGUAUGGUAGAGGGAAGUGGAAUUUCCGGUGUAGCGGUGAAAUGCGUAGAUAUCGGAAAGAACACCAGUGGCGAAGGCGGCUUCCUGGACCAAUACUGACGCUGAGGUGCGAAAGCGUGGGGAGCAAACAGGAUUAGAUA
rnacentral:rRNA from 1 species